rnacentral:rRNA from 1 species
UGGGGAAUUUUGGACAAUGGGCGCAAGCCUGAUCCAGCAAUGCCGCGUGAGUGAAGAAGGCCCUCGGGUUGUAAAGCUCUUUUGUCAGGUAAGAAAAGGUGAUCUCUAAUACAGGUCACUCAUGACGGUACCUGAAGAAUAAGCACCUGCUAACUACGUGCAAGCAGCCGCGGUAAUACGUAGGGUGCAAGCGUUAAUCGGAAUUACUGGGCGUAAAGCGUGCGCAGGCGGUUAUAUAAGUCAGAUGUGAAAUCCCCGGGCUCAACCUGGGAACUGCAUUUGAGACUGUAUGGCUAGAGUGUGUCAGAGGGGGGUAGAAUUCCACGUGUAGCAGUGAAAUGCGUAGAUAUGUGGAGGAAUACCGAUGGCGAAGGCAGCCCCCUGGGAUAACACUGACGCUCAUGCACGAAAGCGUGGGGAGCAAACA